UCAAAUUUAAACGUUGAGCGCAAGUAGGAGAAAUAAAAGAAUGGGUAGAACCGGUAUCAAAUAAAGUAUAGACUUCACUAGAGUUUAUGAUAAGCUUACCCGUGAUGACCUCGUUCGGGUUCCUUGCUUUCUAGGAGGUCACAACAAAUGCUCUCCCUUGCACCACCGGCUUUGACUUUUCUGGGACGGACUUUGGUGCCUCUAUCCUAGCUGAACUUGUCUUUGGUGAACGACAAAAUCGGGCUAGGUGACAUUCUC
rnacentral:lncRNA from 1 species